rnacentral:pre_miRNA from 1 species
GAGGUACUCCCUCCGUCCGGAAAUACUUGUCCUAGAAAUGAAUGAAUCUAGACUUAUUUUAGUUAUAGAUACAUCUAUUAUAUUCAUUUUUAGGACAAGUAUUUCCGGACGGAGGAAGUAUUUG